GCCGGGCGCAAUGGUCCGUGCCUAUAGUCCUAGCUACUCAGAGACUGAGGUGGGAGGAUGGCUUCAGCCCAGGGGUUCUGGGCUGUAGUGUGCUACGCUGAUUGGGUGUCUGCACUAAGUUCAGCAUUAAUAUGGUCACCUCCCGGGAACAGGGAACCACCAGGUUGCCUAGGUGGGGUGAACCAGCCCAGGUCAGAAAUGGAGCAGGUAAAAACUCCCAUGAUGAUCAGUUGUGGGAUUGCAUCUAUAAAUAGCCAAUGCACUCCAGCCUGGGCAACAUAAUGAGACCUUGUCU
rnacentral:SRP_RNA from 10 species